rnacentral:tRNA from 1 species
CAGGACGAAGCUAAACCAGAAAAGCACCUCUCUUACACUGAGGAGUUACCCGUGCAAGUCGAGUCAUCCUGA